GGGGACCUACGGGGCCCCUUAACCAACGGACCCUCUGGUCCAAAGCAAACGGAAGACAGAAA
rnacentral:ncRNA from 1 species